GUGCUCGUAGUUUAGUGGUAAAACUCUGGUUUGUGGAACCAGAAUCGAGAGUCCGAUUCUCUCCGAGCACC
rnacentral:tRNA from 1 species